ACCGAGGCGACGGUGGUGUAGUGAUGGUGGUGGUGGUGGUGGUGGUGGUUCCAGAGCUUAACCGAAUCCAUUUUUUGAAUAAAAUGGGGGCGGCUUUGGGACUGAUGCGACGGAUUCAUCCUAAGCACUCGGAGAUGGCUCUCUCCACACUGCUUGGCCUCUUGCCUCACCUCUCCUCUGAUCACCUCUCUCAAGUCAAUCAACCUAUCUAGGGUGUGGUGUGGAGAUGUUUAGCCCCGACUCGCGUUUGGUUGCCGUGAAGGUUUAGGAAAAUGAAAGAAAAUUCAAUUUGAAUUUUGAAUUUUUGUAGAGUGAUAUUGAAGCCGCCUAGUCCUAGCACUUGUAUUAGUAUAAAAAUUCAAUUUUGUCACCACUAUUACUGUUGAUUUGCUUGGAAGUUUCUAGCAGUGUUGAUGGAUUUUAAAAUUUUACAAUUUCUACUUUCUCUCUCUAUCAGCAUGUAAGCGUCUAAUAUUAUCUGUAUAUUUGACUGAAAUUUAUAGAAAUGGACGGUGUUGAUGAUUAGAAGAAGAAUCUGGAAGAGGAAAUUUUCAAAAACCCUUACCCUUUGUUUGGUUGUAGAGAAAACCGAGAGGAAAUUGAUAGGGGGAGAAAUUUUCAUGAUUGUGUGUCGUAUUUUCUUCUGGUUUUCUGAAAAUGAAAAUUCCCUCUCAACUAAUGUCAAGUGCUUAUAAUAGAAAAUUUGAUGUCAUAGCAGGUUCAAGUAGUGCACCUAUCUUAUUUUUUACUUUGCGUGAUUAAUAGAAUUUAUUAUUCUUUAAAUGAAAUUUUAUUCAGGAAAUGUAAUUUUUGUCGAAACUAGCACUAUGGUUAGUGAGAAUGUGGUAUCUGAAAUAGCACAAAGUGGGCAAGAGGAGCAAAACAAUGAAACCUAGAAGGAGAGUGGGGCUUUGAAGCCCUAGCCGGAGGAGGAUUCAAAGACUGGACAUAAUGACCUCAUGCUCAAGUCUGUUGAUCCAAACAACCAGUAAUUUGAGUAGGCACUUGAGCUCCCUACUUAUGGGCCAAAAGAGGAAUGCAUCUAUCGUCUUGAUUGGCAUGAUUUGUUAUUUGUGUCGGGAAGCAUCUUCAAGGAUGAAUGGCUGUCUAAACUACAAACGGUAAAACCUGUUUGGAACCUAGAGUAUGCAUCUAGAGUAUAAAUUUCCCAGCUUGACCAAAGUGGAAGUGAAUUGGAUCCAAAUCAUGAACCCUUAACCAUGGCUCUCGAAUUGUACAUAUAAAAAUAUAUAGACACCACAUCAUGGCAACUACAUUUUCCUUUCUUGGGCCGAAGUUAUAUUCUAAUUCAUGGCAUCCUUUGGACCAUUUUCCUAGUUCAUGAUUUAAUAUGGAUAAAAUAGGCUCUCUUGAACAAAAAUUUGUUCAGACAAAACAAAUUUGCCCCAAUACUACUAAUACUUACAUGUAUUGCUUCCUUUUCAACCUUAUACGAAGAAGCAGGUAGUAUAUGCUCUCUUCCUGAAUGACUUCAAUUAUACAAAUUGUGUGGUAUUACCGUAUUAGUAAUAAGACGUCAUCAAGGACAUGCCUGGACCACUUUGAGCAAACCCCUGUAUUAGCGCAUGCGUCUUUCUGGGUAGCAGGCUAGCUGGGCACAUCCCAUUCAUCACAUACCAAAUAUUAAACUCAUUCAAUGUGGUUGUGACAUUUCCAUGGCUUCAUUCAGCAUAUGUUGAAACAAAUAGAGUCUUAUUGCAGCACAAGAAAUUCUCUUACUGUAUUUUCUUUCUUGCUCGAUCUCUAGGCACUCAUUAAAAGGGAAGGGGAAUUUGAUGGGUCUAGUCGACCCCAGAUUGGGCUUAGACUUCAACAAGGAAGAGAUCAUGGUGAUGAUCAACAUAGCUCUCCUGUGCACAAACGUCUCUCCAGCAGUCAGGCCAGCUAUGCCAUCAGUUGUGAACAUGCUUGAAGGCAGAAUUGCUGUUCCGGACAUUUGUUUCUGAUCCCAGUGCUCCUUGUGAUGACUUAAAGCUCAAGGAGAUGAUAUCGCUACGUCCAAGAAAAGAGCAUGGGUUUAGCAGUGGUGUGACAUCUUAUUCAUACUAAGCUGAGUGUGUUAAAGGAUGUAAUAUUGAUAUUAAAUGAUUAAAUUAUUAAUAUUCUUUGUGUGAAUUUAUAGGCUUUAAUUGUUUUUAGCUAA